rnacentral:miRNA from 1 species
AUAUUCGUUAAGGUUGUAAC